GGUAGGAUGGCUGAGCUUAGGCGGCGGGCUGUAACCCCGCAUACAGAGGUUAGAGCCCUCUUCCUAUCA
rnacentral:tRNA from 1 species